AGCUCCUAAAAUGAGCAAAUAAGCUGUGCAUCAUCUCUGUGAUUUGGGAAGGAAAUGACUGAAUAUGAUGAAGCCAGUUGAUGAAGAUAUCAAUUGAAUGGCCACCGAGUGCAUCACUGCUACCUGAACCCAUCAGUUAUCUGCUGUGAAGACUGCAUUCACAAACCGCUCUACUGCGACAGCUCAGAUGUUACGGCCUGUAAAAGUAAACAUCACAGCUAAACAACGAGAGCUAGUUGUGGUGGGAUUCUUUUGGCCAAUAUCCCCAACAAGAAUCAAUGACAUCUAGACCAGGUGGAGUGUGAGGAGGACCGUCAGAGACUCCAGCCAGCCGAGCCAUGGAUUGCUCUCACUGUUACCAUCAGGCAUGCGUUAUCACAGAACCUACACCAGCAGACAGUGAGACAAGUUCCUUUCACAGGCAAUCAGACUGAACUGAACUCAUACCAGUAAAACCAUACACACCCCACCAACCUCAUAUGCCCUGCACUCUUAUCAGUUAUGCUGACUGGACUCAAUAUUAUUAUGCACCCUGACAUUCUGUUUGCACUAAUUCAUACCGUGCUUUACUGCAGAGAUGUAUGUGUACUGUGAUUAUUAUUGUUUUCAAUUCAUGCUCUCUGUAUAGCAUAAUUUUUAACAUAUAUUGUUCUCUACCUGAAUUGAGUCCCUUAUAUAUGUGUGUUGCAUAUAUAUAUUCAGAAUUUGUAUUACAUAUAUUCAUGAUUUUAAUUCAUUUGUCAUCCAUACUGUCACGCUGCAGUCUGCACCCAAGACUUUCAUCACCUGUAUACUUGUGUUCUUUGU